rnacentral:rRNA from 1 species
CAUGCAAGUCGAGCGGAAACGACAHYAWYRAWYCUUCGGRKGMKUUAAUGGGCGUCGAGCGGCGGACGGGUGAGUAAUGCCUAGGAAAUUGCCUUGAUGUGGGGGAUAACCAUUGGAAACGAUGGCUAAUACCGCAUAAUGCCUACGGGCCAAAGAGGGGGAUCUUCGGACCUCUCGCGUCAAGAUAUGCCUAGGUGGGAUUAGCUAGUUGGUGAGGUAAUGGCUCACCAAGGCRACGAUCCCUAGCUGGUCUGAGAGGAUGAUCAGCCACACUGGAACUGAGACACGGUCCAGACUCCUACGGGAGGCAGCAGUGGGGAAUAUUGCACAAUGGGCGAAAGCCUGAUGCAGCCAUGCCGCGUGUAUGAAGAAGGCCUUCGGGUUGUAAAGUACUUUCAGUUGUGAGGAAGGGUGUGUMGUUAAUAGCUGCRCAUCUUGACGU